GAAGCUUACAAUAACAGCUCAUAAUUCCUAAACCUAAGUUUCUUGUACUAAUCAUUAUUUCUUUUGUUAUAAGCUUUAAGUUACCUGAACAUAAAAGAAACCAUCUCAAAUUCUCAAUAUGAUAACAGAUGUCCUACAUCUAUUAUAGUCACAGAGAGAUUUCACAAGCUCUUGAAUGCUCUCAUUCCAGUUUUAUGGAAAGCCAGACAGAAUUAAGAUUGAUCAAGACAUUUAAAAUUUAUCUAAACAUUAAACUGCACUCAGUUGAGAUCAUGCCUUCAGCUAAUGGAUCAUACAGUAAAGACUUCAAUCAUUUAUAAUUUGUGCAUGCCAAUCAACAUCUACAUGAGUUAAUGACAGCUAACAGCAGAGGUUACACAGGGCAACAUUAUUCGAUAUGUAACCUCUUUUUGGCAGAAUUCAGUUACCUGGAAAUAC
rnacentral:misc_RNA from 1 species